UGCUGCCUCAGCGGCUCUGACGCGGUGGAUGCUGGAGCAGGCAGUUCUGCGCAUGUGCGGCGCUCUUCCCCAGGAACUGGCGAGAGGUCACGCCUAACCCCGGCCGCUAGGAGGUCCCUGGAGGGGAAGAACAGGCCGCUGCUGAGAGGGAUUGACCUGGGAGGCACGUCAGGGUGCAUGGACUGCUCCAGCGCCCCAAUUUACUGCUUCUCACCCCCACACGGCAGGCUGGUCUGAAGACACAGAAGAUGUGCAGAAUGACUAUGCUGAAUUACAGAGCCUUUUGCAAGAAAUGCAGUCCAGUCAUUUCCAAGCAUUCAUAAAAGCAAGGUGUGGUCAACACAGAGGACAUGUGGCAAUCACACUUUGACCUCAGAAAAACACUUUUGGUUAACCGCCAAGAGUGAGCCCUGCUUCCUUCUCAGAGCCGUCCCUGACUAAUUUGUUCAACCGUGUCGUGCCCACACAGACUGGAAGA